rnacentral:tRNA from 1 species
GCUGUGAUGGCCGAGUCGUUAAGGCGAGUGAUUCGAAAUCACUUGGUGUUUCACCGCGUAGGUUCAAAUCCUACUCGCAGCG